UUGUUUUCCCUUUGCGCAUUAUCUUGAAGUGUAUUAAUAGGUGACAAGAAGGUUAGUCAUGGUUCCUCCUUUUUCCUGAUCCUAGGUGCCAAAAUAGGGUGACGAAUAUUAAAUUAGGUUAUUGUUGAACUUAACCCAAAAUUACUUGACAAGGAAUUGCCAAAUGUGAUAGAUUAACAGGUGCCUAUAAGAGGUCAUUUCAAUAUAUUUCCUUGGAUUUUGUGGGUCCUAGGGGAGUGACGUUUAGAAAAUGGUAUGGUAAGUGUCUUAAGGGUGGAGGAAGCAGUGUAGGUUUGCCAAGCAUGAGUCUUGUAAAAGCGAAAUAAUGUAGGGUGAUAAAGUAUCACAGGCCAUUAUUAUGCUUUUAUGAGAUGGAUUGUUUAGGAUAGAGCUUUCUAAGGAAACUGGAUUUUAUGCAAAAUAUAAGGGUAUAAUAAUUGUCCCUUAGCCAAAAUGCAAGUUAAAAAGUGACUUGGCUUGAGGUGUUCGAUGUUUUGAUGGUAAGGGGUCAGUUUUUUAAUUUAGUUGAUGUUCGUCUAAGAGGUCAUUAUUGCUUCACCAACUAAUGUGUCCAUUUCUUUGUGCUUGAACACGUGGUAAUUUGUGAUGGGUGUCCUUGGGAAGUUGUCUUUUCCUCCAACCAUUGUUUCCAUUUGAUGUUUCGGUUCAUUUCCCCACUUGUUCUUCUAUAAAUUGUGUACUUUACACCUAGUAAAGGAACCUGUAUUUGUCAUCUAAGUAUUUUUCUUUGUGUGAUUUUUUCUCUCUAAUUCUUCUCGUGUUAAGUUUCUUCAUAUAUUCGUUUUUGUUUCUCCAAAUGGCUAACAUUUCUUCGAUUUGAGAGGUUGUGGUGAGAGGUGAGGAAUUGGAUUGUACCAUGACAUUGGAGGAUAUGGUAGCCAUGUUGCUAUUGCGGCCAGGGGCAAAGUCAAAAAAAUUUUUGGGGGUUAGAAUUAAAUUAUAUAUUUUUAUGAUAGUAAAAAGAUAAUUUCACCAUUUUAAUAGUUUACAUCUUUAUAAUUUUUAAAUGAUUAAAUCAAAUUGUUAUCAUUUUUAGAGGGGCAAAGUGUAAUUUUACUAUUACCAAUUUAAAAUUUUAUCAAUUAUAAAGGGCCUAAAUGGAAAAUUUUCCAUUUUAAGGGCUCCGCCCCUGAUUGCAGCGCCUUUUGGUUUUCCACUAUAGGUAUGAAUUCACCAUUUCAUCGACUACCCAUUGCAUGAGUAAGGUUGUAGAAAAUGACACAUCUUUCUUUCAUUCAUUCCAUUUAUUAGAAAAAAGUUUCCAUCUGUCACUUUACCCUAGUUUGUUCAAGUUCUAUGAGUUUACCAUUUUGCAUCGAGCUAUUGUUAGGGACUUUGUGGUAUCUAUUGUUCUAUUUUCUUGACUAUCUAAAAAGGAGUAUAAUGUUAGAUUUCUUGAUCUAGGAACUUAUUUACUUUGAAUUUCACUAAUCCUCUUAGUAUACAAGAUUUUCCCUCGCGAAAAAUGAGGAGAUGUUCAAUGUUUAUCAAUUACCCUAAGACGUUUCUUUUUGCCCCUGAAACUACAUUAUGAUAAGAAAUAAGUUGGGAAAUUUUUCUUUUCCUUUAUAGUGGAUUAUUUCGAUGCUAGCUAGGUUUGUUUCACUUUCGCUGGUGGAGUCCUCUAUGCAAUAGCAGUAUCAUUACUUGGUUGGGAGUAGAUUACCGUUGAUAAGGUUUGGAUAUUGUUCAAUAUUUGGAGGAUUUUUCAAUGAGUGACGCUUUAACAGGACAUCUCCAAUGAGGUAAGCAAGAUGGUAAACAAAUUUGGCAUAACUAUUCCACCAUUGGCAUACCAUACUAGAGUGGUGAUUACCUAGCAAUGCUAAUGAUAGGUAUAGAAGAAAAACCUAUGGGUUUUUCUUAUUAUUACACACUCUAAUAUCUACAAAUAAAGGCUUUGGCUGCUAGGACUAAUGCAGGUGAGACUGCUGACGGGUGAGGCCAUAAAGUUACAGCGAAUACUAGCAAUAUUGGUUUAUUCUAUUACUAAUUUUAACUUGUAAACUAUUUGUUGACCCUUCUAACCUUGAUAUUCUUUUGUACAAUGUAUAGGUUUGUUUACUAGGCCACAUAAUGUAAUGGUGAUAAGACCUCUAAUGGAGCUAGCAUAGACACUUUUCGUUUAUCUUAUCAUCAUAAGAAAUGAGAGUUUAAGGGUCGCCCACUUCUUAAAGGUGGACUUACAUUAGGCCUUUUGUUAAAUCUUAAUCUAAUUUUUAGUAGAGAACCAAAAGUUAAAGGAAGCCAACUAGAGUUGUUUAAAUUAGUUAGGAGCAGUGUUGAGGAAACCAAAAGCUAAUGAAGAGAAAAUUAAGCUUUAGAAUGAAUAAUUCUUAUUAGAGCAAAAGAAGAACUGAGUUAUCCCUAUAUGUACUUCUCGAAGUAGUCAUAGUGAUGCCUUAUUGUCUGAUUUGAAGACUUCUAUGAUAAUUUUAUCUGAAAUGGUAAGGAAAGCUAAAUAUGAAUUGGUGGUGAUGGAGUCAUAAGAGAGGUUUGAUGCAAAGAAUAAUAAGUUUGUCCUUAAAAGAACGUAUGAUAAGGUGGAUAGACUCUUUUCUAAAAAUGUCCUAAAUUUGUGCCACACAACUUUAAGUAACAUUUAAUUUAUUUGUAUUCUUUUUGAUCUAUGGGAAGUUAGGUUGGGCACUCGGUAUGUUGUCCCAUAUUUGAUUGACAUACUUUGUCCUUUAGUGGUUGGCUCAGUGAAAAGUGAUGUGUGGAGCCGCAAAUGAAGGCAAAAGGAAAAGGAAUGAUUGACCUUGAAUCUAAAGAUAUACUAUCUAAAGACUAAGAUAGAUUUUCUUUUGUAGAAGUAUUAAGAUAAAAUGAGAUUUUCUUUCGUAUACUAAGAUAAAUGUUUCUAUGUUGCCAUUUUUAUUUUUAUUAUAAUGGAAUCUAGAUAUGGUGUUGCUUUAGUAGUGUUUCAUUAUUUUUUGGAGUUAAUCUAUUUGGUUAUUUCAUGCAUUAGUAGUAUUUAAAUGAAUCAUCAAUUUGCAUUGAUUUAUUGUUUCUUUGUGAAUUAUACAAUCAUAUGCCUGAUAAGGGGUGUUAGCCUAAAUAAGCGAUGCUACAUUUUGUAUAAGUUUGAUAUGGCAUAAAAAGACGCUUUGUUAAUAUUAGAGGGGGAUUACCCUUCAAAGGUGUCACACCCCAACUCUAGAAGGUCUAAGAUUAAGGCGUUUAGGUGGUGAAAUCAACUCUUUGACGAAGUAUAAUCCACCUAUUUGCUUAUUUUGGCGUAUAUGUGUGGGUGUAUAACAAUCAUCGUGUAAAUAAGUGAAGAUUCUAUUUCAAGUUAUUCUGCUAUUUUAAGAGGAAAUUUUUGUUAAAUGACAAGGUAGUUAUGGUAAGAUUUGUCGUCAAAUGUAUAUUACGUCUUAUUUAUCUAAAGUACUGAUAACUCUUGAAAAGAGUUAUAAUUCAUCCUUUUCGACUUAAUUAAUUGCUUGUACGUAAGUAAAAUUAGCUUCGUUUUAGACAAUUGCAUGAUCAUUUCUAAUCAAUCAAGUAGUGUAUCUAAGAACUUGAGAUGGUAAUUACUUUACUACAUCUUUACUUUUAAUUGCUCGUGGAAAGGUUUUGUUGUGGCUAGAUGGCAGGUUUAAAGGAAAAGGAUAGCAGAGGAUGGAGGUUUGCCGAGGCAUUAUGAGAGGUUGCCAUGGCAAUGCUGGUGAAGAAAACGAUAAAAACCCAAUCAGCAAUAAGAGCACUCAGCAUUUGGUCCUCCACAUGCACAUGUAAUAGAGAAUAUUCAUCUCAGAAUUAGGGAAAAAGAAAUCAUUGGCUAACGGCUUUUACCCUAGAAGACAACCUAAGUAUAAAAGGCAAUAAAAAUGGGAGAGACAAGGGAGGGCAAUUUUUCUGAGCUAGGACAAAAGUUUCAUGGUGACAAGAAGGGCAAGUUGUAUUGAUUGUGAACUUUGGUGAAGAUGAGCAACAAGACGUUGAGUCGAGAGGAUUAGAGUUUUGAAACCCAGAUUUUUUCCUUUGCAUUUUGUUUCAAUUUUUCUGUUCUAAACUGAUAUUUUGGGAUAAUGAUGAUACGAAAACAACUUGAAUUUGUGUAGCCCAGCCAUGAGCUAACUUAAUAUGGUUGGGGUUUGCUUUGGAUGAUAUUUUAACUUCGAUUAAUGUUUAUGGAUUAAUAUAGUUCAUAUUACUGCUUUACC
rnacentral:lncRNA from 1 species